AGGAAGGCGGGGAUGACGUCAAAUCAGCACGGCCCUUACGUCCUGGGCUACACACGUGCUACAAUAGGGUCGGUACAAAAGGGUUGCCAAGCCGCGAGGUGGAGCUAAUCCCAAUAAAACCGAUCGUAGUCCGGAUCGCAGUCUGCAACUCGACUGCGUGAAGUCGGAAUCGCUAGUAAUCGUGAAUCAGAAUGUCACGGUGAAUACGUUCCCGGGCCUU
rnacentral:rRNA from 1 species